GGAAUAUUGGACAAUGGGCGAAAGCCUGAUCCAGCAAUGCCGCGUGAGUGAAGAAGGCCUUAGGGUUGUAAAGCUCUUUUACCCGGGAAGAUAAUGACUGUACCGGGAGAAUAAGCUCCGGCUAACUCCGUGCCAGCAGCCGCGGUAAUACGGAGGGAGCUAGCGUUGUUCGGAAUUACUGGGCGUAAAGCGCACGUAGGCGGCUUUGUAGGUUAGAGGUGAAAGCCCAGGGCUCAACCCUGGAAUUGCCUUUAAGACUGCAUCGCUUGAAUCAUGGAGAGGUGAGUGGAAUUCCGAGUGUAGAGGUGAAAUUCGUAGAUAUUCGGAAGAACACCAGUGGCGAAGGCGACUCACUGGACAUGUAUUGACGCUGAGGUGCGAAAGCGUGAGGAGCAAA
rnacentral:rRNA from 1 species